rnacentral:rRNA from 1 species
AUUGAACGCUGGCGGCAUGCCUUACACAUGCAAAUCGAACGGUAACGGGCCUUCGGGUGCCGACGAGUGGCGCACGGGUGAGUAAUACAUCGGAACGUGCCCGAUCGUGGGGGAUAACGAGGCGAAAGCUUUGCUAAUACCGCAUACGAUCUACGGAUGAAAGCAGGGGACCGCAAGGCCUUGCGCGGACGGAGCGGCCGAUGGCAGAUUAGGUAGUUGGUGGGAUAAAAGCUUACCAAGCCGACGAUCUGUAGCUGGUCUGAGAGGACGAUCAGCCACACUGGGACUGAGACACGGCCCAGACUCCUACGGGAGGCAGCAGUGGGGAAUUUUGGACAAUGGGCGCAAGCCUGAUCCAGCCAUGCCGCGUGCAGGAUGAAGGCCUUCGGGUUGUAAACUGAUUUUGUACGGAACGAAAAGCCUUCUUUUAAUACAGGAGGGUCAUGACGGUACCGUAAGAAUAAGCACCGGCUAACUACGUG